rnacentral:tRNA from 1 species
GUCCCUGUAGCGUAAUCGAUAGCGCGGUGGGCUUCUAAUCCAAAGGUCGUGGGUUUGAAUCCCACCUGGGAUG